GACGAACGCUGGCGGCGUGCCUAAUACAUGCAAGUUGAGCGCUGAAGGUUGGUUCUUGUACCAACUGGGUGAGCCGCGCACGGGUGAGUAACGCGUGGAGCAUCUGCCUUUGAGCGGGGUGCAACAUUGGGAAACGAAUGCUAAUACCGCAUAAAAACUUUAAACACAAGUUUUAAGUUUGAAAGAUGCCAUUGCAUCACUCAAAGAUGAUCCCGCGUUGUAUUAGCUAGUUGGUGAGGUAAAGGCUCACCAAGGCGAGGAUACAUAGACGACCUGAGAGGGUGAUCGGCCACAUUGGGACGGAGACACGGCCCAAACUCCUACGGGAGGCAGCAGUAGGGAAACUUCGGCAAGGGGCGAAAGUCUGAGCGAGAAACGCCGCGUGAGUGAAGAAGGUCUUCGGAUCGUAAAACUCUGUUGGUAGAGAAUAACGUUGGUGAGAGUGGAAAGCUCAUCAAGUGACGGUAACUACCCAGAAAGGGACGGCUAACUACGUG
rnacentral:rRNA from 1 species